rnacentral:snRNA from 1 species
GGAUGUGAGGGUGAUCUUGCUGUUACAUCUGUCACCCCAUUGAUUGCCAGGGUUGACUUGGUUGAUCUGGCUGGCUAGGUGGCUGUCCCCUUUCUCCCUCACCACUCCAUGUGUAUCCUUCCCAAAGCUGCGUGCUCAGUAAGAGGACAGCCAUCCCAACAGAGGAGGACAGUUCUUCACUCAAGGGUAUACGAAUAGCUGUGCUUCCCUGCUAGAACUGCCCAACAAGCUCUCAAAUCAAGUAAUUUUAUUUUCAUAGCUGAAGCCUAUUCAUCUCUUCUGACAUUUGGAUUGUUUUUAUGCAAAUUUUUAC